rnacentral:sRNA from 1 species
ACAAGGCUAAAUACUGUAUUCUGUAUAAAAAGGUUUUCAGAUGAAAACGUUGGUUCUCUUUCAGCUUUUGCAAUAAAACUAAAUGGCAAUUUUCAGAAAUGAACACUUUUGAUUUUGAAGCCAAAAUAUUAAAGGUCAAAGUCAUAAGGUCAUGUAUAUGAAGGGCCAAGGUAAAACAUUCCUAUUGCCUUGUACAUCAUUUAAACAUUCCUUUUGCCUUGUACAUUAUUUAAACAUUCCUAUUGCCUUGUACAUUAUUUAAACAUUCCUAUUGCCUUGUACAUCAUUUAAACAUUCCUAUUGCCUUGUACAUCAUUUAAACAUUCCUAUUGCCUUGUACAUCAUUUAAACAUUCCUAUUGCCUUGUAACAUCAUUUAAACAUUCCUAUUGCCUUGUACAUCAUUUAAACAUUCCUAUUGCCUUGUAACAUCAUUUAAACAUUCCUACUGCCUUGUACAUCAUUUAAACAUUCCUACUGCCUUGUACUUCAUUUAAACAUUCCUAUUGCCUUUACAUCAUUUAAACAUUCCUAUUGCCUUGUACAUCAUUUAAACAUUCCUACUGCCUUGUACAUCAUUUAAACAUUCCUAUUGCCUUGUACAUCAUUUAAACAUUCCUAUUGCCUUGUACAUCAUUUAAACAUUCCUACUGUCUUGUACAUCAUUUAAACAUUCCUACUGCCUUGUACUUCAUUUAAACAUUCCUAUUGCCUUGUACAUCAUUUAAACAUUCCUAUUGCCUUGUACAUUAUUUAAACAUUCCUAUUGCCUUGUACAUCAUUUUCAGAUGAUAACUUCAAUGAAAACUUUGAU